rnacentral:rRNA from 1 species
CUCUUGGGUUGUAACUCCUUUUCUCAGGGAAGAAAAAAUGACGGUACCUGAGGAAUCAGCAUCGGCUAACUCCGUGCCAGCAGCCGCGGUAAUACGGAGGAUGCAAGCGUUAUCCGGAAUCAUUGGGCGUAAAGCGUCCGCAGGUGGCACUUCAAGUCUGCUGUCAAAGGUCGGGGCUUAACUCCGAACAGGCAGUGGAAACUGAAGCGCUCGAGUGCGGUAGGGGCAGAGGGAAUUCCUGGUGUAGCGGUGAAAUGCGUAGAGAUCAGGAAGAACACCGGUGGCGAAAGCGCUCUGCUAGGCCGCAACUGACACUCAGGGACGAAAGCUAGGGGAGCGAAUGGGAUUAGAUACCCCAGUAGU